rnacentral:rRNA from 1 species
UUUUAUGGAGAGUUUGAUCCUGGCUCAGGAUGAACGCUGGCGGCGUGCCUAAUACAUGCAAGUCGAGCGAACGGACGAGAAGCUUGCUUCUCUGAUGUUAGCGGCGGACGGGUGAGUAACACGUGGAUAACCUACCUAUAAGACUGGGAUAACUUCGGGAAACCGGAGCUAAUACCGGAUAAUAUUUUGAACCGCAUGGUUCAAAAGUAAAAGACGGUCUUGCUGUCACUUAUAGAUGGAUCCGCGCUGCAUUAGCUAGUUGGUAAGGUAACGGCUUACCAAGGCAACGAUGCAUAGCCGACCUGAGAGGGUGAUCGGCCACACUGGAACUGAGACACGGUCCAGACUC